AUGGAUCCCCUGGCCGUGCUCCGGGACUACGCCGCCCGCGGCGACCUGGACAAGAUCAUCUUCAACGGCGACGACUACACCUUCCCGGCCAACCUCCCCACCGCCUUCGCCUCCAAGCAGUCCGGCCGCCCCUACCCGCUCUCCGCCGCCGUCUUCCUCGCCCAGCACAACGACCUCAAGCACACCGAGUUCCUCCAGGCCGCCCGCCUCCGCCGGAUCCCGCCCGUCUCCCUCCCGGACCGCAAGACCAUCCUCGAGGUGAGGGACAAGCCGGCCUCGCUCAAGGCGGACGACUGGGCGCGGGUGGUGGCCGUGUUUGUGCUCGGAAAGGAGAGGCAGUUCAAGGCGGCCAACAAUUUUUCUUUCGAACCUGAUGUGGUAGCGUGGCCGCGACGGCAAGGCGGCGGCGUCCUUGGCGCUCGUCCAUGGCGGCGGCGUCCACGACGCUGGUCCAUGGCAGCGGCGUACACGGUCGAUCUAGGAAACAGGGAGGAGUAG
rnacentral:rRNA from 1 species